GCGGCGAGUGAGCGACUAGCUUUCCGUGUGGUGCGGCGGCAACGGCUGCGCGCGUCUACCUCCUCCUUCUGUCGCGGGGCCAGAGUGCCUGAGGGAGUCCAGCUACGCUUAAGUCUGGCCGGUGCCACCUAUCUCCGCAAUGCCCCCCAAGAAACAGGCUCAGGCCGGGGGCAGCAAAAAGGCGGAGCAGAAAAAGAAGGAGAAGAUUAUCGAAGACAAAACUUUUGGUCUAAAGAAUAAGAAAGGAGCAAAGCAACAGAAGUUUAUCAAGGCUGUCACUCAUCAAGUUAAAUUUGGUCAACAAAAUCCACGUCAGGUAGCACAAAGUGAAGCUGAAAAGAAGUUGAAGAAAGAUGACAAGAAGAAAGAAUUGCAAGAGCUAAAUGAGUUGUUCAAACCUGUAGUUGCUGCUCAAAAAAUAAGUAAAGGUGCAGAUCCCAAAUCCGUGGUAUGUGCAUUCUUCAAGCAAGGACAGUGUACUAAAGGAGAUAAAUGUAAGUUCUCUCAUGACUUGACUCUGGAGAGAAAAUGUGAAAAACGAAGUGUUUACAUUGAUGCAAGAGAUGAAGAGCUUGAAAAAGAUACUAUGGAUAAUUGGGAUGAGAAAAAACUGGAAGAAGUAGUGAACAAGAAGCACGGUGAGGCGGAAAAGAAAAAACCAAAAACUCAAAUAGUGUGCAAGCAUUUCCUUGAAGCUAUUGAAAACAACAAAUAUGGCUGGUUUUGGGUAUGCCCUGGAGGGGGUGAUAUUUGCAUGUAUCGUCAUGCACUUCCUCCUGGGUUCGUCUUGAAAAAAGAUAAAAAGAAAGAAGAAAAAGAAGAUGAAAUUUCAUUAGAAGAUCUAAUUGAAAGAGAGCGUUCUGCCCUAGGUCCAAAUGUUACCAAAAUCACUCUAGAAUCUUUUCUUGCAUGGAAGAAAAGAAAAAGACAAGAAAAGAUUGAUAAACUUGAGCAAGAUAUGGAAAGAAGGAAAGCAGACUUCAAAGCAGGGAAAGCAUUAGUGAUCAGUGGUCGUGAGGUGUUUGAAUUUCGUCCUGAAUUGGUUGAUGAUGAUGAUGAAGAAGCAGAUGAUACCCAUUAUACCCAGGGAACAGGUGGUGAUGAGGUUGAUGAUUCAGUGAGCAUAAAUGACAUAGAUUUAAGCCUGUACAUCCCAAGAGAUGUAGAUGAGACAGGUAUUACUGUAGCCAGUCUUGAAAGGUUCAGCACAUAUACUUCAGAAAAGGAUGAAAACAAAUUAAGUGAAGCUUCUGGAGGUAGGGCUGAAAAUGGUGAAAGAAGUGAUUUGGAAGAGGACAACGAAGGGGAGGGACAGGAAAAUGGAGUCAUCGAUGCUGUUCCUGUUGAUGAAAAUCUUUUUACUGGGGAAGAUUUGGAUGAACUAGAAGAAGAAUUAAACACACUUGAUUUAGAAGAAUGACACCAAAGAAGUCAAUGAAAAAAUUAAGUCAGCUCAGCAUGAGUUGAAAUUGACUACAUUAAUUUUUUUCCACCUAGAAUUCUUCAACAGGAUGUUUGUUUCCCAUGCUGAUUCUGGAGGGCUUACUCUCCAAAAAAGGAAUAUUCUCCCUACAUCUUGUCUUCUGACUUUGGCUACAUCUCAUACUUCCAGGUAUUAAAACACUUCGCACCGUAUGAACUCAUAUACGUGUUGCAAUGAAUGUAUCACAAGGAAUACUGUAUGAGAGGCAAAGAAGAAAGAAUUAGCUUUUAUUCAUUCAAUUAACAGGGCUCAUUUUUUUGGAUGUAUGAAGUCUCUGAGAACUAUGGUACUACAUUUGCCAAAUAUGGUACAUUCAUGUAGUGAAAUAUUAUGCAGUUGUUUAAAAGAAUCAAGUAGAUUUUUCCAUUUACUGACAUGAAAAGAUGACCAUGACAUUCUAUUGAGUAUUUAAAAAGAAAAAAGGCAAGUAUGAGAACUCUACUGAGAAGUAUGUAUGGGUGUAUCUGUAUAUUCCUUUAAAAUAAAAAAAAAGAAUGUUUUAAAACUGUAUACCUGUUAACAAUAUUUGUCUUUGUAGUAUGGUGUUUAUGUAGUUUGUUUGUAGUUGUUUGUAGUAGGCAGGGAAUGUAAUUACAGAGACCCUUGACUUUCAGAGUUUUUCUUUCUGUGUGUGUGGCAAAAAAGAAAAAACACAAUAUACAUAACAUUAAAUUUACCAUCUUAACCAUUGUUAAGCGUCAGUUCUAUAGUGUUAAGUAUGUUCAUGUAAUUUUGCAACAGAUCUCUAGAACUUUUUCAUCUUGCAAAACUGAAACUCUAUACCCAUUAAACACUAAUUCCUCUUUUAUCCUUCACCCUACCUAAAGCUAUGGGCCACCACCUUUCUGCUUUUUGUUUCUAUGAUUUUGAUGACUUUAGAUGCUUAAUAUAAGUGGAAUCAUACAGUGUGUGUGUGUGUGUGUGUGUGUGUGUGAGAGAGAGAGAGAGAGAGAGAGAGAGAGAGACUGAUGACUUUGCUUAGCAUAAUGUCCUCCAGGUCCAUUGAUGUUGCAACAUGGGACAGGAUUUCCUUAUUUUUAAAGGCUGCAUGAUAUUCCACUGUAUGUAAAUACCACAUUUUCUUUAUCCAUUCAUCUGUCAGUGGACACUUGGGUUGUUUCCACCUCUUGGCUAUUGUGAAUAAUGCUGCAAUGAACAUGGGUGUAUAAAUAUCUCUUCAAGAUCCUGCUUUGAAUUCUUUUGUAUAUAUACCCAGAAGUGGGAUUGCUUAAUCAUAUAGCAAUUCUAUUUUUAUUUUUUUAAGGAAACUCCAUACUGUUUUCCAUAAUGGCCACACCAUUUUACAUUUCCACCAACAGUGCACAAGGGUUCCAAUUUCUCUGCAUCCUUGACAAUAUUUGUUAUUUCUGUUCUUUUGAUAAUGGCCAUCCUAAUGGGUGUGGGUGAUAUCUCAUUGUGAUUUUGAUUUGUAUUUUUAUGACUGAUUAUUGAUAUUGAGCAUCUUUUCAUAUGCUUGUUGGUCAUCUGUAUAUCUUCUUUGGAGGAUUAUCAUUUCAAGUCCUUUGCCCACUUUUUAGUCAAAUUAUCUGCUUUUUGUUGUUGAGUUACAGAAGUUCCUUAUAUAUUCUGGAUAUUAGCCCUUUAUCAGAUAUGUGAUUUGCAAAUAUUUUCUCCCAUUCUGUAGGUUGCCUUUUCACUCUUGAUUAUUUCCUUUGGUGUGCAGAAUUUUUAAGUUUGAUAUAGUCCCAUUUGUCUAUUUUUGCUUUUGUUGCCUGUGCUUUUGAUGUUAUAUCCAAGAAAUCAUUGCCAAAUCUAAUGUCCUGAAGCUUUUCCCCUAGUUUUCUUAUAGGAGUUACAGUUUUAGACCUUAUGGUUUAGGUCUUUCAUCCAUUUUGAGUUAAUUUUUAAUAUGGUAUAAGGUAAGCUUCCAAAUCACUUUUGGCUUGUGGAUAUCCAGUUUUCCCAACACUGUUGUUGCAGAGACUCUCCUUUUCCUUUUUUCAGUCUUGUACAAAUUGUCUGGCCAUAUACGUGAGGGUUUAUUUCUGGGCUCUCUAUUCUGAUCCAUUGGUCUAUAUAUCUGUUUUUAUGUCUGUACCCUUGAUUGUCUGUAACUUAAUUGGUCAUCUCAUAUAUUCCUCAUAACAACCAUGUGAGCUGGGUGUUAUUAUCCCUAUGUUACAUAAAAUGUAAUUGAGUUCCAGAGAGGUUAAGAAAAUGUCCCAAGGUCAAAUAGCCAAUAAGUGUCAGAAGCAGAAUCAAAGCUCAGUCAUUUUUAAGGGUAUUAUUUUAUGAAUAGUUCUUUAUUCUUAACCAUAGCUGAUAUACUGUGGGGCUAUUGUGAUCACCAAUAUGAAAAUUGGCAUUACUAUGAUUUAACUAGAAGAAUAUCUGAGUCUAUUCGACGGCUUACUUCUGGGCAAUGGAUUUGCAAGAUGAAUUAAUUGGGCCAAGGCACAGCAGAGCCAUUCAGAAUAAAUACUGAACCCUGGGAUCCAAAUGAUCAUGCAGUGAUACCAGUGAACUCCUGAAGCAAAAGCUUAACCAUUUAAUGAAUCUAUUCAUUUCAUUCCUGGACCUACUCAUUCGUUUCUUCUCCACAUGGCAUUUCCCUCACAACAGUUCUUAUAACAACUUUUUAGUUAGAACGACAUGCUGUCAUUAUACAUAGCAUUUACUGUGUGAAGCUGUUGUGCUUGCUUCACAUGGACAACUUGUUGCUACAGAGUAAUUCAUUUAAAGUCAUUAUAGGAGAAGGGACCACUUGGGUGCUGUGUCUUCUUAGAAAUGACUUUAGUUCAGUCAAAUAUGGAGGGGAAAAAGUAGUCAAAUCCCUCUAGUUCUGUGCCUUUGUUAAGCAUCUCAACUUUUUCAUUUAUUCAGCAAACACUUAUGCAGCUACUAUGUGCAUACACUACACUAGGUGUAGGGGAUACCAGAGGUAGAAACAAAACAAAACAAAACAACCCACCUAUCUUCACGAGACCCCAGUCUCAUGGGAAGAUGGGAAAAUAAAUGGAUGAUUUUAAUAUUGAAUACAUUGUAAUAGAGAUAUGCAUGUGCCCUAUGGAAGCCUGUGAGGGAAGAGCUUAACUCGAGAGAAGAUCAAGAAGGUUUCCCACAGACACCUUCUUAUAAUAAUACUUUAACUAAAUCUACAGAAGUGUGAGCAAGCGUGGAUCAUAGUUCAGUACAAUUGGAACAUGAAAAGGGGUCGUGGGAGAUUUCUGAUUUCAUGGUUGAAAGCAUUCUAGGCAUAGGAAACCAUAAUUAAGAUUCAGGAUCUUAAAAAUCCAAAAGCAAGUUUACAGUCAAAUAUAAUAACAUUGCUUAAAGUAAGGGAAUAUUAUAGGCUCAAUUCUUGGAUUCUUCUAAGACUUUUAAUGACUUAAGUAAACUAGUACUUCUGGCCUUUAGAUUAGGCUAGAAAGUGAGAUUUGAAGUCCUGAGGUACUGAGGGUGCUUGUGCAGGGGAAUGAAGCCUACAGUGAGCCUUUACACCUGAGAUAGAGAAAGAGCCCGCACAGUAAAGAGCUCAUCACCUCCUGCUUCUUAAAAUGGCUGAAAAAUUUUUGCUGCCUACUGAGUCCUGAAUAUUACCAGAGAUAGUCAUCUCCUUUAGCAGUCAAUUUAAUCAAACCCAAGCAGUAGCCAAGUUAAUUCUACUAUGUUAUGCCAUCAAAGAGCCAGGUUUUGAUCUCCAAAUGGUGGAUUUUUCCCCUUACUUGCAUAUCCCACUCACCCCAGUCUCCUCCAGUUCUUAAUGAAUUACUCAAAAAUAACUUUCAAAUAUAGUUAUUAUUAAUGUCUCGGUCUAAUAUGUUUAUAAUUCAAUAGACAUUAGACCAUUUAGAGCAUAAAUUAGAUUUGAUUUAAUUACAUUGACCAAAUUCUCUAAUAUUUAUUUAAUUAGAUAACCCAGAAAAAAAAAUUAAAUAAUCUCUAACGUGAUAAAUGAAAAAUUUGAAAUAAUGGAUUAAGUUAUACAUGUCUGGUAUUAAUAUACAAAAUUUAUUCUUGAAUUCCUUCAUAUAUUCAAUAUUAAAAUGAAAAUAAUCUUAUUUUCAGAGUUUACCCAAAUUUCAAGUUAGUUUCUAUCAACUGUGUGAGUCUUUCAACAAUUCCCUUAGGUUUUUCUUUCUGAAAAAUAGCAAAAUAAUACAUUGGAGCUUAAUAUUUCCUGCAGAUUGGAAGGUGUUACUAUACAUACGUUUUGGAGUCCCACGUUUGAACAUAAAAAGAAGAAAUGUUUCUCUCUCCUUACAUAACUCCAUCCUUGGCCCCCAUACUUAUGCACAGACCACAAACUGACAAAAGUUGUAUAUCCCAAAACUGGAUAAAGAAGAAAGAAGAAGCUUACCUAGAAGUCAUGAUUCCUUGCUUCUUAGGGUUCCUGAAAAUUACCUCAUGUCUAAGCACAUUCAUAGCAUCAGAUGCUUCACCCAAUGGCCAGAAACCAUGUAAGCAAGGCAUGGUUGCCAGCAUUAGUAAGGAUUUCUUGAAUCUGGACCCAAAGUGGGUUGAAGAGUACAGAAGUGUAGGCACAAAGGCCCUCUUGGCCUCAGAAGUAAAAAUUCAUAGCCAGUGUGUCAUCCUUCCUCCU